UGCUGGUGUUUAAUCAGCGUGUGUACCACCUCUUCCCAUUCCGAACAGAGAAGUGAAAGCGCGCUGACUCGAUGAUACUUGGUGCUAAUUCGCGCCUGGGAAAGUAGAGUACGCCGGCAU
rnacentral:rRNA from 1 species